CUUGGAGGUUGUGGCCUUGAGCCGUGGCUUUCGGAGCUAACGCGUUAAGUAGACCGCCUGGGGAGUACGGUCGCAAGAUUAAAACUCAAAUGAAUUGACGGGGGCCCGCACAAGCGGUGGAGCAUGUGGUUUAAUUCGAUGCAACGCGAAGAACCUUACCUACUCUUGACAUCCAGAGAACUUUCCAGAGAUGGAUUGGUGCCUUCGGGAACUCUGAGACAGGUGCUGCAUGGCUGUCGUCAGCUCGUGUUGUGAAAUGUUGGGUUAAGUCCCGCAACGAGCGCAACCCUUAUCCUUGUUUGCCAGCGAGUAAUGUCGGGAACUCCAGGGAGACUGCCGGUGAUAAACCGGAGGAAGGUGGGGACGACGUCAAGUCAUCAUGGCCCUUACGAGUAGGGCUACACACGUGCUACAAUGGCGCAUACAGAGGGCGGCCAACUUGCGAAAGUGAGCGAAUCCCAAAAAGUGCGUCGUAGUCCGGAUUGGAGUCUGCAACUCGACUCCAUGAAGUCGGAAUCGCUAGUAAUCGUGGAUCAGAAUGCCACGGUGAAUACGUUCCCGGGCCUUGUACACACCGCCCGUCACACCAUGGGAGUGGGCUGCAAAAGAAGUAGGUAGUUUAACCUUCGGGGGGACGCUUACCACUUUGUGGUUCAUGACUGGGGUGAAGUCGUAACAAGGUAGCGCUAGGGGAACCUGGCGCUGGAUCACCUCCUUAAACGAUGAU
rnacentral:rRNA from 1 species